UGAAGAGAGACCAGCCAUCUCAUCUAUCAAUUGCUGUCUUAGUUGCUGCUGUGUGCGGAUGCUUUCCAAGCCAAGCAUGUCCAUGUCCAAAUCCAAGUCCCGAGCGUUUAGAGAUGUCUUUAGCCUACUGCCAGGAAGCUGUAAUGCAGGUGGGGUGAUGUUCACCUUGUUCUGCCACAUGUUUCCACCCAUUGGAGACGAACAUGUUACAGCAGGAGACAUCGGUGGUGUUGAAGUAGCAGGCAGUAACAUGGACGAAGAACCAAGAGCCAGAGGGCUCAAUGUUGACAUAUCCAUCGAGCCGGCUGGACUAGCCUUUGGAGAAGGGAUAGCUGAACCAGUUGACGCAUACAAGGGGCGUAGCUCUUCAGGCUUGUGAGCAAAGAAGCAAACUUUCCUUGAGCACCCGGUCUCAUCCUUGCAGAGACGGGUUCUAUAUUGGGCAGGAUGAAGCCAUGACUCGAAUACACCAUGAGCAUACUCACAAGAAUCAUUCUUUGCACAAACACCUUUCUUGAACUCGGGACAUGGAACACAAGUAUAGUUAUACUUCCUUGGAUCGCGUCUCCUUGCGUUCUCCCCUGGAUGAACAAAAGGGCAUUCAGUCCAAUCAUGAGAAUAUGCCCUUGAACAUGGCUUAACCUUGAAACAAUACAUCCUGAAAUCAUCACUCCCAUAAAUCCCAUCAUUUAUGUCCGGCAAGGAAGUAUCAAUCGGAUACUCUUUCUUCUCGCUUCCUUCUUUCGUCAUCUGGAUUGCUGCUUUUCCUUCUUCUUCCUCCUCCAGCUCAGCAAGCUCAGCCAAGCACCCAUUCAACAACUCCAGUGACUUCCUUUUCGAAUUCCUCAAGGACUUAGGAUAAGAAGCAAUCACAUCAGAAGGCCUGUUUCCACUAGAAUCACAAACAUUAACAUCAGCAGAAGCAUCAAUCAAGAUCUUGAAAACCUCAACCGAUGAUUCCAAGCCACCAGCUGCAGCACAGUGAAGAGCAGUUGCACCAUCAGAGCCACAAGCCCUGUUGACAUCAACCUUACCAGUUCCAACAAUAUACUUCAAAAUCUCAAUACUCCCAUACAUGGAAGCAAUCAUCAGAGGGGUUCUCUCUUCAAACCCCAUCUUUUUCGAAC
rnacentral:lncRNA from 1 species